AAAAAGAUAAGCUAAUUAA
rnacentral:tRNA from 13 species